GUGAAUCAUCAAAUCUUUGAACGCAAAUUGCACUCUCUUCGGAGAGUAUGCCUGUUUGAGGGUCAGUAUUAAUAAAAAUCGGUUUGUUCCUUCUUUGUGACGCUCCGGAGUUUGGGUCAUCUUAAUAUUCUUUAGUUUUUAUGAGUCUUAAAAUUGACUUUUUUUGCGCAUUAUUCGUCUUACAUAUAUUUUUUUUUUAUUCGUUUAUUCUUAUUGCCAAAUUCUUAUUAGAUGCGUUAUAAUCGUGUGU
rnacentral:misc_RNA from 1 species